GGAAGCUGGGCGGCGUGCCUAUACAUGCAGUCGAGCGGACCGAAUGAGAGCUUGCUCUUAUUUCGGUCAGCGGCGGACGGGUGAGUAACACGUGGGCAACCUGCCCGCAAGACCGGGAUAACUCCGGGAAACCGGAGCUAAUACCGGAUAACACCGAAGACCGCAUGGUCUUUGGUUGAAAGGCGGCCUUUGGCUGUCACUUGCGGAUGGGCCCGCGGCGCAUUAGCUAGUUGGUGAGGUAACGGCUCACCAAGGCGACGAUGCGUAGCCGGCCUGAGAGGGUGACCGGCCACACUGGGACUGAGACACGGCCCAGACUCCUACGGGAGGCAGCAGUAGGGAAUCUUCCGCAAUGGACGAAAGUCUGACGGAGCGACGCCGCGUGAGCGAAGAAGGCCUUCGGGUCGUAAAGCUCUGUUGUGAGGGACGAAGGAGCGCCGUUUGAACAAGGCGGCGCGGUGACGGUACCUCACGAGAAAGCCCCGGCUAACUACGUGCCAGCAGCCGCGGUAAUACGUAGGGGGCGAGCGUUGUCCGGAAUUAUUGGGCGUAAAGCGCGCGCAGGCGGUUCCUUAAGUCUGAUGUGAAAGCCCACGGCUCACCCGUGGAGGGUCAUUGGAAACUGGGGGACUUGAGUGCAGGAGAGGAGAGCGGAAUUCCCGGGUACGAGGAAAUGCGA
rnacentral:rRNA from 1 species